UACGUAGGGGGCAAGCGUUGUCCGGAAUUAUUGGGCGUAAAGAGCGCGUAGGCGGUCCGGUAAGUCGGCUGUGAAAGUCAAGGGCUCAACCCUUGAAAGCCGGCCGAUACUGUCGGACUAGAGUCCGGAAGAGGCGAGUGGAAUUCCCGGUGUAGCGGUGAAAUGCGCAGAUAUCGGGAGGAACACCAAUGGCGAAGGCAGCUCGCUGGGACGGUACUGACGCUGAGGCGCGAAAGCUAGGGGAGCGAACUGG
rnacentral:rRNA from 1 species